UACGUAGGUGGCAAGCGUUGUCCGGAUUUACUGGGCGUAAAGGGAGCGUAGGCGGAUUUUUAAGUGGGAUGUGAAAUACCCGGGCUCAACCUGGGUGCUGCAUUCCAAACUGGGAAUCUAGAGUGCAGGAGGGGAGAGUGGAAUUCCUAGUGUAGCGGUGAAAUGCGUAGAGAUUAGGAAGAACACCAGUGGCGAAGGCGACUCUCUGGACUGUAACUGACGCUGAGGCUCGAAAGCGUGGGGAGCAAACAGG
rnacentral:rRNA from 1 species